GACGAACGCUGGCGGCGUGCUUAACACAUGCAAGUCGAACGGAGCGAUUUAUUUCGGUAAAUCACUUAGUGGCAAACGGGUGAGUAACGCGUAGGCAACCUGCCCUCAGGAUGGGGACAACGGCUCGAAAGAGCCGCUAAUACCGAAUGACGUAACUCUUCCACAUGGAAGAGAUACUAAAGAUGGGUCAAACCAUCGCCUAAGGAUGGGCCUGCGUCUGAUUAGCCAGUUGGUGAGGUAACGGCUCACCAAAGCGACGAUCAGUAGCCGGUCUGAGAGGAUGAACGGCCACAAUGGGACUGAGACACGGCCCAUACUCCUACGGGAGGGCAGCAGUGGGGAAUCUUCCGCAAUGGGCGAAAGCCCGACGGAGCAAACGCCGCGUGAGUGAAGAAGGUUCUUUCGGAUUGUAAAGCUCUGUUGUUCGGGG
rnacentral:rRNA from 1 species